AGAGUUUGAUCAUGGCUCAGAUUGAACGCUGGCGGAAUGCUUUACACAUGCAAGUCGAACGGCAGCACGGGGGCAACCCUGGUGGCGAGUGGCGAACGGGUGAGUAAUACAUCGGAAACGUGCCCAGUCGUGGGGGAUAACUACGCGAAAGCGUAGCUAAUACCGCAUACGAUCCACGGAUGAAAGCGGGGGACCGCAAGGCCUCGCGCGAUUGGAGCGGCCGAUGGCAGAUUAGGUAGUUGGUGGGGUAAAGGCCUACCAAGCCGACGAUCUGUAGCUGGUCUGAGAGGACGACCAGCCACACUGGGUCUGAGACACGGCCCAGACUCCUACGGGAGGCAGCAGUGGGGAAUUUUGGACAAUGGGCGCAAGCCUGAUCCAGCCAUUCCGCGUGCAGGAUGAAGGCCCUCGGGUUGUAAACUGCUUUUGUACGGAACGAAACGGCGCUUUCUAAUACAAGGCGCUAAUGACGGUACCGUAAGAAUAAGCACCGGCUAACUACGUGCCAGCAGCCGCGCUAAUACGUAGGGUGCGAGCGUUAAUCGGAAUUACUGGGCGUAAAGCGUGCGCAGGCGGUGAUGUAAGACAGGUGUGAAAUCCCGGGGCUCAACCUCGGAACUGCAUUUGUGACUGCAUCGCUGGAGUGCGGCAGAGGGGGAUGGAAUUCCGCGUGUAGCAGUGAAAUGCGUAGAUAUGCGGAGGAACACCGAUGGCGAAGGCAAUCCCCUGGGCCUGCACUGACGCUCAUGCACGAAAGCGUGGGGAGCAAACAGGAUUAGAUACCCUGGUAGUCCACGCCCUAAACGAUGUCAACUGGUUGUUGGUCCUUCACUGGAUCAGUAACGAAGCUAACGCGUGAAGUUGACCGCCUGGGGAGUACGGCCGCAAGGUUGAAACUCAAAGGAAUUGACGG
rnacentral:rRNA from 1 species